rnacentral:lncRNA from 1 species
CGGGGUCGACGCCGAGCUCGCGCGCACGGUUCACGUACUCCUUCUUGACGUUUCCCCUCUGCAGCUGCAGGAGGCGGAUGACGCUGCGGCGCGCGUCGUGCCGAAACGGGCGCCCCGUCCCCGUGAAGCCGUCGAUGAGGUGCAGGUACGCCUCCAGGUCGUGGCGGCACGCGGGCCCGGCGUCCGGGCGGAGGCACGGCGAGUUCUUGCUGUCGAUCCGGAGCUCGGCGCCCACGUGCUGGUACUGCUCCUUCUUGUGCGGCAGCCGCGGCGCCACCCCGGGCACCUUGGUGACGACGUCGCCGGCGUUGACGAUGCGCAGGACGUUGACCUUGCCGCUGCUGGCGAGCCUAUCGACGAAGGCGGCGUUGCCCACCUUGGGGCCCCCGAAGGAGACGACGGCGACGGGGGGCGCGUCGGGGAUGGACGUGGCGACCUCGUCGGCGACGAGGAGCGCCAGGGCGGCGCCGAGGCUGUGUCCGACGAUCGUGAUGCUGAGCUCCUCGCCCUUGUACUUGUCCAUGAGGCGCCGCACCUCCUCCAUCACCUCGUCCGACAGGCUCUUGACUUUCUCCCCGGCCGUCUUGUACAGGCUGAGGAAGCCCCGCGCCACCUUGGGCUCCUCCGCUC